rnacentral:lncRNA from 1 species
CAUUUAGAUGAAAAUUAUGUAAGACUCGCAUUUUAAUCAUAUAAUAAUUGAUCAUCCAUGAUGUCAGGCGGCAAACCAAAAUAAUAAACUAGCUAAACUGCUGGCGUCAUCUAUAGCAGCAGAGAAAUCAACAGAAAUUUCUAAAGAUGUAGUAAAGAUCGCGAGUUGGAUCGUAAGGUCGUACGAGUUUAUAAACCUCGACCGUAGUUACGUGUUGCAUUGCAAGCAGGAUCGAAGGAGGCGCUGCCAGUGGUCAAGACUGCGAGUUGGAGUGUGGGAUCAUAGGAUCGUAAGGGUUGGCCCACCCAUUUCGCACAAUCUUGCUGAAACAGGUCUUUUUUAUUUUUUGAAAAAAACUGUCUUCUAAAACACGUAAAAAACCAUAAGCACCGUUCCCUCGCCCUCCUCCCUGCGAUGACAUUCCCUUGUCUCCCCAGUUCUCUUUCGUGCAGCCAGCAACUUCCCCCGUGUUCUUGCUCCUCUGUUUCUCGGUAUUUUAGUUACUAAUGAAUUUAGUCUUUUGAUUUCCUUUAUGAACAUAGUACUUGGUUGUUAUGAGCUUAUAGAUUGAUGGUUAUGAAUUUUUAAUUAACUUAGUUUAAUGUUGUGAUUGAGGUUAUUUUGUUUAUGUAUGAUAGUUUUCAUGCUUAUGUAUGAUAGUUUACAUAUAUAAGUACAUUUUUUCCUUUCAGUAGGAUCCAACGGUCGUGUUACGAGCUUUCAAGAGUAGAAUUUACCCUCCAAAGUCGGAUCACAAGGUAAAAGAUAAGAAUUUACCUUCUCAAGAGUAGACUGAACCUGUUGUAGAGGAGUUGCAAGCUGAUUCUGAUUUCCAAACAGGUUGCUAACGCCACUUGACUUUUUCUUGUCCCUUUUCAGGAAAAGGUGGAAAGUAAGGAUAGAGUU